AUAUUUGAUAUAUUAAAGAAAGGAAUUUCUUACAAGGCUUGAAUCCACACUAGUACCUUCUUUUCAUAGAUGAAGGAAGAGAAUACAAAGAAACUUUUAUAGUACAUUAGGAUAAAGAGAAAUCUCCUUUUCCAGACAAAUCGAUAAACUAAAUAAAGUACAUUUAAAUAAUAUACACUCAAUUUUACAAAUGGACAAAUUAUGGUGACUCAGAAACUAUUUUAUGAGGGGGAAAGAUUAAGACAUUCUUAUUCAUAAUAAUCUACCUUCCUAUAAAUGGGUUUCCACCACAGUGUGCUGUUCAUAGUCUUUAUUUUCCUGAGGGUUCGGCUGCUUCAAGAGAGCCUCGAUUUCUAGAUCAAUUGGUUCUUCCAAUUUAGGUGUCUUGCUUGACUCGUUGCUUGAGUUUUGAAAAAGAUCUUUAGUGAGAUCCUAGGAGUCUUAAAAAUUAGGGUUUUGAGAGUUCUGGAAGACAAAAUCUUGAAGAUCCAAGAGGUCAAUACCCAUGGGGACCUGUACAACUUCUACCUUUGGCAUAGGGCUGAGAGAUUUAUUUAGGAAUCUUUGGAACUGUAUUUUCAUCAUACAAGUGAUCGAUGGAUGUGGUGAUGAUCUCUUCCUGUGGUGGUUCAUAACUGUUUAACCUAUAAAGGUAUGUGACCACUUCAGACUUGACUUGAGGAGAUGAGGUUUCAAAAGUGGUAGUCCAUUCGAAUGCCACAUUAUGAGUCUAAAAAAGUGUAGCAUUAUGGUUGUAGAGGUAGGGUCUGCUGAUCAUAAAUAUGCUAGUAAUCUGUUUUGCCUGCUCACAUGUCAUUUUUUAGAGAUUGUUCUAACCAAUAAUUCUAGACAGUUCAUGUAUCCAUCAUGAAAUGGGGUUAAACCAUUCCAAAAAUGACAAUAUCAAAGAACUGGGGUUAAACCAAGUGUUCAACAAGGGGCAUGGUUUAUAAAGUAAUUAUACACCGAAGAUACCACAAAUCACCUUCAGUAAACUCAGUCUUUGGUUGGAGGUAAUAGGGUAAAAGAAAUGGUAAAAGAGGGUCAAACACAAAGUUAUCUUUUUGAAUUCAUUGGAGUAUUGGCUAAGUUUGGGAAUAGAUGACUUCUGAUAUAUGUUUGUAUAUCCCUAAAGACAACAUGAUUAAGGUCAGAAGGGAAGAGUUUUCGGAUUAGGGCUUUCAAACCUUCUGCCAUUAGAAUCAGAGGGAAGGAUUUUACUUCAGGUAUUAUUUGUAUGGUUUGCUUUUUCUGGGUAACAUGUCUAUGAGAAUAUUGUGUUCCCCUUUUAUAUGCUGAACACCAAACUCAUAUUUUGCAAACAAGUCUUUCAAUCUUAACAAUUAAGGAUUGGGCAAGGAUUUGUUAUUAAAUUCUAAUACUCUUAAAAAUGAUAAGUUGUCCAUUUGUAUAAAAGAUCUGUGUCCUAUUAGAUGGAGUUCAAACUUUUGUAUCCCAUACUUGAUAGCAAGAAUCUCCUUGUAAAUAGUGUGAUGUUGUUAUCCUAAUAGCUUGAAUUAUCCACUAGCGUUGCCACAAUAAUGGAGGAUUCCAUUAACUUUUUCCAUUAAUGUGGCUCCCCAAUAAAGGUCAUUUAAGUCUAUUUACCAUAUUCUCUUUCCCUGUUCUGGGAUUUUGAGAGUACGGGGCUAUACAACUAACUUCUUUAGUUCUUUGACAGUAGUCAUUUGUUACAUUCUCCGAGAAUGUGGCUUUUUCUUUAAGAGUUUGGAAACAUAACUCACAUGGAUAUCAUCUUUGGGAAUAAAGCUUAUGAUGAAAUUUACAAUAAUAAAAAAUUGAUGUAUUUGUUUGAAGUAGAGAAUCUCGUCAAGAAACUUUAGGAUUCUUCUGUUAUGUGGCGUCCAGGCAUGUUCUCCCCUCGAGAAAAAUGCAUAUCCAAGAAGCCUAUUUUUGGUUUAGCUAAUUCGCUUUUUUUUUUUUUUAUUGGAAAGCGUUAUUUCAUUUUUUUGCUAGGAAAGAUUGAUUAGCUUAAUAAUCUUCAGAAAAUAAAAGGAUGUCACCAGUGUGAACAAGGAUUCUUUCCAAAAUGGGCUCAAUGAUUCUGAUUAUGGCUUUUUGGAACAAUGAAGGUGCUACCUUGAAUCCAAAAGGAAGCACUGUACAUUAGUAUUAAGCACUUAGAAUGCAAAAAGCCAUUUUAUAUCUUUCUUCUUGAUCGAUUCCUAUUUGCCAAAAGCUCAUCUUGAGGCCAAAUUUAAAGAAUAUAUGGGCCUUGUUGAGAUGGGCAAACUACGAACUGAUCUUCAGCAAUGGGAAUCUAUCAUCUUUCAAAGAUUGGAUUAGUGGUUUGUAGUCAAUAAAAAUCCUUCUCUUUCCUCUGUUUAUUUCUGAUUUCUUAUUGACAUAGAAAGCUUGGCAAGCUCAGUUUGGCAUUGUGGGCUCAAUCAAUCCUUGUUGGAGUAGCGCUGAGCAUUUUUUCUAGCAAGUGUGAGAUCAAAGGGAGUCAUUCCUGAAUGUGUGGCCUUGGUAGCAUUGAUAUCUUUGCUCAGCUUGAUAAAAAAAUUGUUCAUUCUUCCAUAAUGGAUGAAGAUGAUUGAAGGUUUCAUGAAUGUCUGCACAGAGAAUUAAGAGUUUCUCUUAAAGUUGUUUGUAGUUUGGUGGUGCCUUUUAGGACAGAGAGUAGAGCUUUGAUGUUCUUACGAAAGCCUUAAAUUAUCCUUGAAACUUUAUUCUUUAUGGAAGGAUGGUUAAAUUUCUUGACUCUAUAUACACAUCCAUUCCAAUUAGAAUAUCUUUAUUUGGAAUUUACUUCCUAAAACCUUCAUCCAUAUUAUGCAAUAUGGGAAGAACGUGAUUCCAAUAAGGCUUUUUGCUAUCCAUUCUAUUUUGAACAACUUAUCAUCAACAACUUUGAACUAUUCUUCAUGCUUUGUCCAAAACUCUUUAGGAGGUAUCUCUGGAUUCAUCAUACUUUUCUAUGCUCUUGUAUCAAUAUAGGCGAUGACAUCCUUAGGUUGAGAAUACUUGCUGGUGAGGAUUUGGAUUGGAAUGUUGGCAACUGAAAUGGCUUCUGCCUUUAGAGCUUAUGGUAUUUCAUUGGAAAUUAUAUAGAGGGCUGAGUGAUUGAUGAGGAAAGAAUCUUCAUAUUCAUUGUCUUUACUUCCACUUUCCUCUGUGGGAAGUACGAAAAUUGUUUCUUCGUCUCGACACUUUGUUUAGCGUAGAGUGAUUCAGUAUCUACAAACUUUAUUUCUAAGAGAAGAUCAUCAAUCUGCAAUUGUUGUAAAAGUUUUAUGGCCUUUUACCUUUUGGUAGGACACCGUCAAGCAUAACGCUCAUUCCACCAGCAAAGAUAACAUUGAUUAGUUUUUUAUUGAUGCCUUUGCUAUACUUUUUUCUGAAAUAUCUGAACUUUUCCUUUUACCUUUGGAAUAUUUGUCCUUCUUGUGCCAGUGUUAGUUUUUUGCUUCUUAGUCUUGUAAGCACAGCUGUCUUAUGGGCCUUUAAUCAGUAAAUUUGGUAGUCUAUAAACUGAUUUACAUAAAGGUUAUUUCUUCAUGAUAGUUUGAAAAUAUUGAUUUUGUUCACAUAAUUUAUCAUGAGCAGACAUUGCCAUCUGAUGACUUUAACCUAUCAAAAUUAUUUUCAUGGGCAAUUUAGAUGCAAGGAUAGAUGUCUGGAUUUCAGGCUGCAACUCAUCUAGAAAAGAUUAUAUAUAGACUUGUUUUAAAUUUUGAUCAUUAACCCUAUAAUAAGUAAAUAUCUCGAUGACAUUCUCUCAUAGUCGUUGUUUAGAUCUUUCCUUUUGAGAGAACAACAUUUCAUAGUGAAAAAUUCCUUUUGAGUUUGCAAGAGGAGUAAGGAAUGAUCUCUUAUGAAUUCACAAGAUGGUUCCCAGAGCCUCUGUUGUGGUUCUAACUUGAGCGAACUAUAUCUGUCUGCGUUCACCAAGUUAUUGAAAUCAAUUUCUUAGUCUACCAAAAUUUCUAGAUGCAAAUUCCUUUAAACCUACUACAAGGUUGGCAUUUGUUUUGUACAUUUGGUUAUCUAUCCAUGCUCCGAGCUCGUGCAUUCUAUGCUUCCAUUGGCUUGGCUCCGGGUCAUCAAAUGUAAACCAUAGGCUAGAAGUAGGUUUCAGAGUUUGAUAUGAUGAUCAGUGUGGUGGUAUAAGGCACUAGCAAGCUAUCUGAUGUCUAGUCUCACAUCGUCCAAGUGUAGAUUAGGAUAUGACUCAAAUAUAAAAAUAGUCACUCUCAUAACAUCAAGACCUUUUUAGAAAGGUUGGCUUUAGGGUUCAAAAGAACUUCGAAGUUAAGCAUGCUCAGGCUAGAACAAUCCUACGAUGGGUAGCCUCUUGGAAAGCUCUAAACAAGUAACCCCAUAGCGAGUGUGGUCAAAAAAUGGUAUUAAAGCCUAUAUCCAGUUAUAAGUGUGCCGGUAAGGAUACUAAGUCCCAAGGGGGUGGAUUGUGACAACCAGUAUAGGCUGGUAUGGGACACUGGUAGGCUACCUAAUGUCCAAUCCUAAAGCUCUAAACAAGAAACCCUAUAGUGAGUGCGAUCACAAAUGGUAUCAAAGCUUGUACUCAGCUAGAAGUGUGACAAUGAGGAUGCUUGGCCGCAAAGAGGGUGGAUUGUGAUAACCAGUGUGGGCAGGUGUGGGGCACUAGUAGGUUAUCUGGUAUCUAAUCCUACGUCAUCUAGAUGUAAAUUAGAGGAUUAUUCAAAUGUAAUAAUAGUCACUUUCACAACGCCAUGACUUCAAGGUCCCAAAAAACUCCGAAGUUAAGCGUGCUAAGGUGAAAGCAAUCCUAAGCAAUCCUAAAAUGGGUGAUCUUUUGGGAAGCUCUGGACCAAAAAUCUCAUAAAAAAUGCAGUGGCUAAAUUGAAGACAAUAUUGGUAGAGAGUGACAGGUCCACCAAUAGAGGCGGGGUGUUACAUUUGCUGAAUGUGAUGGCUAAAUUAGGGAUAUUCUCGGCAGAGAGUGAUAGGUCUGCCAGUAGAGGCGGGUUGUUACAUUUUCUGCCUUUCCUAGUUAGUUUCUCCUUCAGUUUUUAGUUCAGAUAUCAUUAGAUCAAGUUGUUGUGUUUGAUUAUGAGGUGGUUCGGACACCAUUGGAUUAGGUUAUUGUGUCUGAUUGUGAGGUGGUGGUUAUUGACUAUUGAGUCUGGUAUGUGGUAGAAGAUUGUUAGCUACCUUUCUGGGCUAGUUUCUCCUUCAAUUUAUGGUUCAGGAACCAUUAGAUUAGGUAUUGGAUCAGGUUGCUGUGUCUAAUUAUGAGAUGGUUCAGACACCAUCAAAUUAGGUUAUUGUGUCUGAUUGUGAGGUGGCGGUUAUUGACUAUUGAGUCUGGUAUGUGGUAGAGGAUUAUUGAGCUUCCUUUCUUGGCUAGUUUUUCCUUCAAUUUCUGGUUCAGACACCAUUCGAUCAGGUUGUUGUGUCUGAUUGUGAGAUGGUGGUUACUAAGUCUGGUAUGUUAUAGAGGAUUGUGCCAUUAGCAGUGUGGAGAUGUCAGCCAUGUCUUCUUCAUUUUUUUUUUUUUAAACAUGACAACUGAUCUUUUAAGGAUUCCUCUUUCAUUGGCUCUUAUUGUGUAAUUGUAAAGGUUGUUGGUAGAUCUGAAGAGCUUGAUGGAGGUGGUUUAAAAUUGCUUUUGCUGCCUUUCUUGGUUAGUUUCUCCUUCAUUUUUUGGUCUAGACAGCACUGGAUCAUAUUAUUGUGUUUGAUUGUGGGGUGGUGGUUAUUAAGUUUGGUAUGUGGUAGAAGAUUGCACCAUCAACAGUGUGAAGAUGUCAGCCAUGUCUUCUUUAGAGUCUUUGUAACACCCCGUCCCAAAUCACACCGGAAUCCGUGCACGUUGAUCGAGGUUGACCGUUGACCGAGUGGGUCAAAAGUUGACUUUUUGUUCCAGUUGGAAUUUCCAGUUGACCAAGGUACCGUGGCGAAGUGCAUGAUGCCUCGAGUUCGUAGACUAGUAGCACGUCGAAAAUAGAGCUACGGUUUGAAAGUUAUGAGCGAAACAAGUUGAGGUCCAAACUGUCCAAGGGGUGCCGGAGUUGACUUUUUAUUUAUGGGGAAAUGAGCUUUGACUCAUGCAUGGUUGUGAAGUGCUCGUCGAUACGAGUUCACAGACUAGCGGCACGCUUAAAACGGACAUCCGGUUAAAAAGUUAUGGACGCGUGAAGUUUGCCGGAUACCGUAAUAUUUUAAUGUUUUUGAGUCGAUGAACAGUGAAAUGCCACGUGUCGUCACCUGAUUGGUCCACGUGGAAUGAACAGUGUCACACAGUGGCUUUUAUUCGACAAAAAUCUAGGGGAAGAGAGAGAAAGAGAGAGAGGAGAGAGAAAGAGACAGAGAGUCCGAUCGGCCACCGGAGAUUUUCAAAUUUUUCGGCCGAUUUACUGUACAUGCGCCGGCCAGCAAGAUUCCUCUCCCCAUUUUCGGCAAAAGCUCAAAAUUUCACGUCCAUUGGCCGCCGGACGCGCCCGGAUCGAGGCGGCCAAGAUCGGCGGCGAUUUUUCCCUCCACUGCCGGCCACCGCCGAUUGACCCAUUUUCGGCCAUUUUCCAGCCACACGUGCCAGCUAGCCAACACCAGCUCCUGAAGUCCGGCUGACCCACCAAAUUUCACGGCCACCGGACCACCGACGCGCCGGGAUCGGAGCUUUUUUCGGCGAGGGGCCAGAAUCCUUCAAACUGUGAUUUCUCCGCUGUUCGGCCUCCGUUUGCCUCACCGUCGGUCCCGUUGGAUUGCUCUCCCCUCGAUCUACAAAUCUGCAAAAAAUCUCAGCCAACAGCCAUCGCACGCGCUGCCGCCGCCGACGGUUGCCCGUGACCGCGGCGGCUCACCGAAAGUUACUGUUCCGGCGAGUACCCAGUCUUCCGGCCGGCUCCUGUCCACUGUGUUCGAUCUCCUGAACCCGAAUCUGGCAUCCGUUUCCACCAAUUCGCGACAGUUUGGGGGAAUUAGGAAGUCGAAACCCGAAAGCUUUCCGGCGAGAUUCCGACCCCGUCGGGUCCGAUCACCGGAAAGUAAGACCGAAUCAGUGAUACUCAUCACUCGAGCUUCGAUUCGGUAUAUAACUUGUAACGAUAUCGUUUGGUGUUCGCUCCCCGGGUACCCAUUUGGGAAUUACCCGAAUAAAAUAUUAAUAUAUUUGGUUGGUAUACUGUGGUUGUUUAGGUGCACGCGCGAGUAGUGGCGUUGAUCCGGCGGAGGAUCUUAGCUGAUUUACGCGCUUAAGGUGAGUGACCCACCUUCAGAAAAAUAUUUUGGGAAUUUAAUUAUGUUUAAUUGGUAUUUAAAUCAUGCUCAUGUGGUACAAUUUAAUUAUGGAUUUAUUGUGGUUUAAUUUAUUUAUUAUGUAUGAGCAAAGUGUAUUUCGGUAAAAAUCGUACGAGGUUUUAAGUACUAUUUUAGGGCAUAAUUUGGUUAAUUAUUUUAUGAAAAUAUUUGUUUAAAUUGUAUAAAUUAUGCCCGCGGUAUUUUAAUUGUCGAAACUCGUGUUACGAGAAAAAUUAUGGUUUAUUGGUUAUCGAUGUUUCCGUACCGUUUGUUAAAUAAAAAUAUGUGGGAUGGUUGUUUGUGAAAAUUUGGUAUAUUUCCCACGGUAAAUUUUGGAAAACGGUACAGUUGGUUUAAUAAUUGUUUUAGACGCAUUGAUACAGUAUUGGUGUUCUGGUAUAUAUAUAUGUGGUUCAGCGCGCAAGUAUUAUUAUUUCACCCGUGAGUUGCCACUGGACCGUGGGUAGGCAAGUUUGUUAUUGGCCACAGCCGCCCCCCUCCUUGGCCGGGAUGAUGGUUUCAGCAGCGGUACUGUCGGGAAGCCGAAGUGCCGUUUGCAAGUUUCUCUCUUUAAUCUCCCCGCCAGUCGGUGCUCAGGACGUUGGGUAUCGGAGGGCAUCACCGGUAUAUGGUGUGGUGCAUCAAGUGUAAUUGUCAAGUGUAGUUUUCAAAUAAAGUUUAAAACCCCAAAGGUGUUCAAAAAUUAUUUAUUAUAAAUUAUUACAUUUUAAUUAUAUAUUGGGGUAUGUAUUUAUUUAUUUAUUGUUUAUCAAAUGGUUUAAUCCCUUGGUUUUCGGGAAGUAUGUACAUCGGGUUUUGUGAAAUUGUUUUAAAAAGGGAACAUUUCAAACGGAGUGAUUGGUGAGAGUUUUGAGGGAAAUUAUUGUUUCCAACAGUUAUUAUUUAUUAUUAUUUAUUUAUUAAUUGUUGGUAUUUAUUCAAUUCCCUUAAUUGUUAUUAUUAUUAUUAUUAUUAUCAUUAAAAGUGUUCAGUAGUUAGGGUCACUCAUUGAGAUGAUUAGCAUCUCACGUUUUUAAGUUCCGUUCCCUUAGGUGCAAGUGGUGGUAGACGUUCUUCUGGAGCGAACCAAAUUUUCCGCUGCUAUCGUGUUUCGAGAAGUACCUUUGUACUCUUUCAUUUCAGUGUAUUAUUUAUUUCAUCCUUGUUGUAUUUCUGUUGAUUAGCACUUCUUAAAGCUCUGUAUACUAUUGGGACACUUAUGUUUUAUUUAUGCACUGGACUGUUGUUAUUGUUGAGAAGUGCUGAAAUUUGUGGAAUUAAUUUGUAGUAUUGUGGGAGGAAUAAGGGGAUGUUUUUAGAAGUGUGUUUUCAGUGCAGGUAAUUUUUGGUUAGUCCUACCCUUAGGGGAGGUGCUGCCGGAUUUUCCGUUGGAAGGUUCGGUGGUAUUUCCCUGGGAUCAGGGCUUGUCUAGGGUUCCGGGGACGGAAUUCUGGACGGGUCCUGACAGUUGGUAUCAGAGCAUAGGUUCUUGUUGAGAAGUACUGUACAAGCGCCCGGAUCGAGGCGGCGAAGAUCGGCGGCGAUUUUUCCCUCCAUUGCCGGCCACCGCCGAUUGACCCAUUUCCGGCCAUUUUCCAGCCACACGCGCCAGCUAGCCAACACCAGCUCCUCCAGUCCGGCCGACCCACCAAAUUUCACGGCCACCGGACCAUCGACGCGCCGGGAUCGGAGCUUUUUCCGACGAGGGGCCGGAAUCCUUCAAACCGUGAUUUCUCCGCCGUCCGGCCUCCGUUUGCCUCACCGCCGGUCCCGUUGGAUUGCUCUCCCCUCGAUCCACAAAUCUGCCAAAACUCUCAGCCAACAGCCACCGCACGCGCUGCCGCCGGCAAUGAUUGUCGGUUACCGCGACGGUUCGCUGGAAGUUACUGUUCCUGCGAGUACCCAGUCUCCCGGCCGGCUCCUGUCCACUGUGUUCGAUCUCCUGAACCCGAAUCCGGCAUCUGUUACCACCAAUUCAUGACAGUUUGGGAGAAUUACAAAGUCGAAACCCGAAAGCUUUCCGGCGAGAUUCCGACCCCGUCGGGUCCGAUCAUCGGAAAGUAAGACCGAAUCAGUGAUACUCAUCACUCGAGCUUUGAUUCGGUGCACGCGCGAGUAGUGGCGUUGAUCCGGCGGAGGAUCUUAGCUGAUUUAAGCGCUUAAGGUGAGUGACCCACCUUCAGAAAAAUAUUUUGGGAAUUUAAUUAUGUUUAAUUGGUAUUUAAAUCAUGCUCAUGUGGUACAAUUUAAUUAUGGUUUUAUUGUGGUUUAAUUUAUUUAUUAUGUAUGAGCAAAGUGUAUUUCGGUAAAAAUCGUACGAGGUUUUAAGUAUUAUUUUCGGGCAUAAUUGGGUUAAUUAUUUUAUGAAAAUAUUUGUUUAAAUUGUAUAAAUAAUGCCCGCGGUAUUUUAAUUAUCGAACCUCGUGUUACGAGAAAAAUUAUGGUUUAUUGGUUAUCGAUGUUUCCGUACCGUUUGUUAAAUAAAAAUAUGUGGGAUGGUUGUUUGUGAAAAUUUGGUAUAUUUCCCACGGUAAAUUUUGGAAAACGGUACAGUUGGUUUAAUAAUUGUUUUAGACGCAUUGAUACAGUAUUGGUGUUCUGGUAUAUAUAUAUGUGGUUCAGCGCGCAAGUAUUAUUAUUUCACCCGUGAGUUGCCAUUGGACCGUGGGUAGGCAAGUUUGUUAUUGGCCACAGCCGCCCCCCUCCUUGGCCGGGAUGAUGGUUUCAGCAGCGGUACUGUCGGGAAGCCGAAGUGCCGUUUGCAAGUUUCUCUCUUUAAUCUCCCCGCCAGUCGGUGCUCAGGACGUUGGGUAUCGGAGGGCAUCACCGGUAUAUGGUGUGGUGCAUCAAGUGUAAUUGUCAAGUGUAGUUUUCAAAUAAAGUUUAAAACCCCAAAGGUGUUCAAAAAUUAUUUAUUAUAAAUUAUUACAUUUUAAUUAUAUAUUGGGGUAUGUAUUUAUUUAUUUAUUGUUUAUCAAAUGGUUUAAUCCCUUGGUUUUCGGGAAGUAUGUACAUCGGGUUUUGUGAAAUUGUUUUAAAAAGGGAACAUUUCAAACGGAGUGAUUGGUGAGAGUUUUGAGGGAAAUUAUUGUUUCCAACAGUUAUUAUUUAUUAUUAUUUAUUUAUUAAUUGUUGGUAUUUAUUCAAUUCCCUUAAUUGUUAUUAUUAUUAUUAUUAUUAUCAUUAAAAGUGUUCAGUAGUUAGGGUCACUCAUUGAGAUGAUUAGCAUCUCACGUUUUUAAGUUCCAUUCCCUUAGGUGCAAGUGGUGGUAGACGUUCUUCCGGAGCGAACCAAAUUUUCCGCUGCUAUCAUGUUUCAAGAAGUACCUUUGUACUCUUUCAUUUAAGUGUAUUAUUUAUUUCAUCCUUGUUGUAUUUCUGUUGAUUAGCACUUCUUAAAGCUUUGUAUACUAUUGGGACACUUAUGUUUUAUUUAUGCACUGGACUGUUGUUAUUGUUGAGAAGUGCUGAAAUUUGUGGAAUUAAUUUGUAAUAUUGUGGGAGGAAUAAUGGGAUGUUUUUAGAAGUGUGUUUUCAGUGCAGGUAAUUUUUGGUUAGUCCUACCCUUAGGGGAGGUGCUGCCGGAUUUUCCGUUGAAAGGUUCGGUGGUAUUUCCCUGCGAUCAGGACUUGUCUAGGGUUCCGGGGAAGGAAUUCUGGACGGAUCCUGACAGUCUUCUUCAUAUUUGUCUGAUUCUGAAGAUGACAAUUGAUCUUCUGAGGAUUCCUUUUUCAUUGGCUCUUAUCUUGUAAUCGUAAAUGCUUUUGGUUGAUCUGAAAAGCUAAAAGGAGGUGGUUCAAAAGUGCCUCUAUAAGCAGGGGUUGAUUUGGAGAUUUGGAGGUUUUUAAAAGGAGGAUUUUGUUAAAGACCUCAUGAGUCAUCUUGAACAUAGUGGAGAAAUCAGUGGUAGGAGUUAGGUGAAUGGAGCCAUAGGUGUAGGUAGAAAGGGAUGGUUUGAGGUUGAUUGAGAUCAUCAUCUAUCUAUUUAAUUUGGAUUUUAGAUUUUUUUUCUUUUUGGGUGUAAAUCCAGGACCAUACAUUCUAUGUGCCAACAAUUGUCUUAGUUGGCGGCCUAAGGUAGCUAUUGACGUCACCAGUUUAUCUUUUAAUUGUUCGACUUUUAUAGAUAAGUUCUCGUUUGUUAAGGUUGUUUGGGUUGUCACUUUGUCUAGCUUCAUAUCAGUUCUUCUAAGAAUUGUGUUUCUGAGCUUUAGCAUUCAUAGUUUGCCAGUUAAGGACUUCCUCAGCCUAAGUGAUGGGAGUAGAUGUUUCUUCAGCUGUUACUUUCUUAGACUGAAUAAAUGGUCUCGCCUAAGUUUUGUAUGUCAAAUGAAUUUGUCUUUCAGGUGUGGGAGCUCCUCUUCAUAUGCAGGAAAGAGUAGAACAUCAUAUAGACUAUGGCAUGUUUUUUUUUCUUUUCUUCUUCUCAAUUAAUCUUCAGACCUUUUUAUAAGCAGGUAAGGGUUGUUGAAAAUUCAAUUUUAGAAGAGUUUGUCGCUUUUGAGGGAUUCUAUUUUAAAGCUGGGAUUAUUAAGCCAAUCUAUAUGUACUUUUUUAUUAUUAUUAUGAAAUGCAUGUAUUAUUCUUCUUUUAUCAAAAUACAUGUAUGAGGUAUAUAUUUAUCUAUA